UCCACAUGAACCCCCAUUUGCUCCGGCCGACAGACCUCUUAAAUCGAGAAUUACAAGGGUUUCUCUUCCACGCUACGUGAAGAGGUCGAGAGAGAGAAGCCACGACGCCCAUCUUGAUGAAGGGCCAUGAGCGGCCGCUGACGUUUCUCAAGUACAACAGGGAGGGAGAUUUGCUCUUCUCCCGUGCCAAGGACCGACCACACGCCGACCGUCUGGUUUGCCGAUAACGGCGAGAGGCUCGGCACCUACCGUGGACACAAUGGCGCCGUAUGGUGCUGCGACGUCUCCCAUGAGCUCUUCUGCGCGGGACAUGCUUUCUCUUUGUUUGGCUGCGAUGUCUUCUGAAGAAAUGUUUUGGAUGUUGCCAAUGUUUCUUUUUCCUGGUUUAUAUAUGUAAAGGUUUCGAUUUUGUUGCUUUUGUUUCAUUGUUUGAACUUGAUAACUAUCAUGGUUGUCGGUCUGUUGUCAUUUAAUCGAGUUUUGGAAGAAAAAUAUGUUUUUGAUGGUUGCAUUUCCACUCGUGGGACCUAAUUAGUGUUUGUUUGCUUGUUUUCUUGAAACUCUAUUGUUCUUGUGCAGCACAUGCUGUCUUUGCAGUUGGUAUUCCUAUCGCUAAAGUAAAUUGUUUAAGAUUUGCUUCUUUGUGAGAAAUCUAAUAUUUCAUCCGAAAGCAAAAAAUUGUGACAAUAUUCCAUUUUGAAGUCAGAAAAAUAUCCAAUGGUUUAUGUCCAUUGAAAAUUUGAGGAACAAAUAUAUCUUGGUGCAUUUGAUUCUGCCUCAAUGUAUUGUUUGUGUCUGUUUCUACAGGAAUUAUUAAAUUAGCAGAAUGGUUGUCUAGGAUAACUAUCUACUUGAGAUCAAGUCUUUUAUCGUUGGAGAUUAUGUAUUUAUGAUUGUGUAAUUGACAUUCUUUUGGUGAUGUAUCUAGGUGAUUCUAUGCGCCUAAUUACAGGAAGUGCAGAUCAGACCGUAAAGCUGUGGAAUGUCCAGACAGGAACUCAACUCUUCUCUUUCAACUUUGAUUGUCCUGCUAAAUCUGUGGAUUUCUCUGUUGCUGAUAAACUUGCUGUAAUCACAAUUGAUCCGUUUAUGGGGUUGCCAUCCACCAUCCAAGUGAAAUGAAUUUCCAGAGAUCCUAAUGAAUAUAGGGACUGUCUAACAUUAUCUCGUUCUACAAUUGAUACGCACCCUGAAGAAAGUCUUCUUUGUUGUCUAUAUAGCUAAAUAUUAUUGACAUCCUAUGUAGUAUUAAGGUAGACUAGAAAAUAGAAGAUAGAACUAUCAGAAUUUAAUAUUAUAGAGAGAACAAGGCAAGAUACAAGAAACCUGCAAAUAUUAGCUGAUUCUAUUCUUAGAUACCAAUAAUUUAUCACAAAUGCAUCGUGCCUUUCUCUGAUACACAAUCCUAAAAGGAUAUAGCCGCUACAGCUCGCCUAUAUGGCUCUUUGUUAUGACUCUUCUGAUCAACUCGAAGUUCAAUAAGACUUUAAAACUUUUAUUAUUAGAGGUUUGGAUCCGAACAUGACCAAGUUGUAGUUCUUACACUUCUUUGAGAACCAAUGGUUAAGUUGCAUGUUUGGUUAUGUUAGUACACAUAUAGAACAAGAAAAUUUUUCGACGAAAGCAGAGAAAGAAAGAUCAAGAUCUGUUCUAUCUUAUCCUUAUAUAUUCAGACCUAUUAGCCUUCCAUGUUCUAUAAUUGACUGUGAUUUGUGCUCUUUUUUAAUAUUAUCAUUAUUAGAUGCUCACCAACAAACUGAUAAUACCAUUAAUUUAUUUUCUGCGAGUGUUUUUCAUUAAUAGUAUUAUCACGGAAACAACCUCUCUAUAUUCUAUAUUUAGAGGCAAGGCUGUGUACAUUGACCCUCUCCUCUCCCGAUCCUGCAUUGGCAAGAGCUUCAUGUAUUGGGUACACCCUGUUUAGUGUUUUCUAUAAACUUUUAGUUGAUUGAAGUAUGAAUGACAAAGUGAUAAAUAAGCAAAAUUUUGAAUUUGGAACCUUCUUAGUGAUAAUUGUUUAGCAUGUUCUGUUGCUACAACUUUUCAGAUCAUUGGGCUCAUCCCAGCUCUGUUACAGUAUUAAUGACGUUGACUGUUCCACCUUUCCACAACUGAGCACUAUCCUUCCUCUGUUGGCUUGUCACAUUAAUUUUAUUUUUCCACUUGCAAUGGCCAUCUGAAAUUGGAAAGUAUAAUAAUGGUACCGUCACAGACAAAGCAGCUUUUAAUGUUAGUAAGUGCUAACAAAGGGGCAGUCCAGCGCACGAGGCUCCCAUGUGUGCAGGAUCUGGUAAGGGGUUGAUAUAUGUAGCUUUCAGUAGGUUGUUGCUAUGACUUCAACUCUGUCAUCCAAGGUCACAAAUGAAUAAAAUUACUGUAGCAUGACUGGCUCCAAGGCUCACCCUCUUUCUCAUGUUAUAUGUGUAUUAUUAUUUCUUAAUAAUGCCUGCUUUUUUUUAUUUCUGAUUAUUCUCUAACAUUGUCAAUUAUUCACUUGUGAAAUGUUUUUUUAUGCAGAGACUAGUGAAUCAGUCCUUACAAUCAAGGGGCCUCAGGGACCUAUAAAUAGGGCUGUUUGGGGACCACUAAACAAGACUAUUAUAAGUGCUGGUGAAGAUGCAGUAAUCCGAGUAUGGGAUACUGAGACUGGUCAGUUCUUGAAGGAAUCUGACAAAGAAACUGGUCAUCAGAAAACAAUUAGCUCACUCUCAAAAUCUGCAGAUGGUUCCCAUUUCUUGACUGGUUCCUUGGAUAAAUCUGCCAAGGUGCCAACCAUUAUCCUUAAUGCUGCUAUAUGAUGCUCACCAUUAUGUUCAGUCUAGGAUUUAUUUAUCUAUCUCUUAUUUUUCCUGAUUUCUUGUUUUCUAACUCUGGGAUAUAAGAACUCUGACACUUGUCAAAACAUAUGUGACGGAGCGUCCUGUCAAUUCUUGCGUGAUUUCUCCACUUCUUGAUCAUGUAUGUAAACAAUUCUCUGUAAAUUUACUUUUUGCUUUGCAAAGCUGCCUUCUACUUGUCAUUGUCAUUAAGUUAUGCUUUCACUUGUGAGCCAAAGCAUGCAUGGCAUUCUGUGUGAAAUUCUCUAGUUAUUUGACAUUGACAAAGAAGCUGGCCCACAAUUGUUAGAGUUUUGCAUAUGUUUUCUAUUUAUAUAUCUAUGAUGUUCUGAAGGUCUGUGUUGUACAUUAUCUUGUGUGUUCCUUGCAUGUGUUUCAUCUAAGUCUUAUCUUGAUGGUUUUCCAUAAGAAGUGUUCUUCAGUGUAGAUGAUUCUUAAAUCAUUUAUCAUAUUUUGUUGAGAUUCUUGAUUUCUCCUGCAAACAAACUUAUUGCUACUUGUUUCUAAAAAGAGGUUGUUUGCAGCUAAUGAUACAACUCCACAAUAUAUGAUGAUGACGAACAAGUAAAUUGUAUGUUUGGUUGACAUUUUCUUGGCACGUAUUCCACUAGCUGGUAAGUAUAGGAUGGAUGUAGUACUAACUAAAACUUAACACCAGUCUCUUAGAAGACACUUUUUAUAGUUGUAUAGCUAGUGUUUUUUUAACCGACUUACCAAAAAAAAAAGUGUUUUUUUAACCUUAUUUAGAUUUUAAUCAUUGUCUUUGUCACCUAAUGUUUUGUUCAAAACAAAAAGAAACUGCUGUAACUUUGAGGGAUAGGCUAAAGUCCACACUAGAUAUAGUAUCUCAAACCUUGAAUAUUGUAAUUGACUGAUAUCAAUUAUGUUUCUCAUGACAUUGGAGCUUCUAUGGUUGACCAUGUGCGGACAGUUUUAACUGACAGCCAUAACAUUUAAUUUAUAAUGAAUUAGGGAAUGCUUGUAUGUAUAGUGUGAUGCUUUGUUUCAACUUCUCAAGUUGGAGUUGGAACCGUACUAUGAAUGGGUUCUUUUGGGGUUUCAACCAAAUAUUUGGAACUAGUUGGGGUUUGCUAAGCAAUAUUUCUAAUGCAGUGGUAAAAGUUGGUUGCAUACCAUAGUCCUUUAUCUUAUUUUACACCAUAGUGGUUAGCUAAUGUAAGGUUUUAUUCUUGAUCCAAUACUAGUUUUGGCAACCAGUUGGAGUGGCACCAUUCUGGUUGUAUUAAGCUUUAUACUGACCUGUUCCACAUGUUAUCAUAAAAAAAUAAUAAAACAAUUUAAAUAUUGGACCUUGGUGGGAUCGGUGAAUACUGAUCAGAAGGUACUGGUCCGACUGGUAUUUGAAACCGUGGUGUCAGGUCUCAAUAGUUUUUUUGUUAUCUGCCAUUUUUUUUUUUUAGUUCUCUCUUUUGUUCUUUUAGGUAGUUAUUGGGGGGGGGGGGUGGGUGCGGGGCAAGAGGCAGUACAUGUCACGACUACUGAUCAUCGUGCUGGAAAAUUUGAGGCAAAAUUCUUUCACAAGAUUCUUCAAGAAGAAAUCGGGGCGUGAAAGGGCAUUUUGGAACCUAUCAAUGCUCUGGCUUUCAACCCUGAUGGGAGAAGUUUCUCGAGUGGUGGUGAAGAUGGCUAUGUAAGACUGCAUCACUUCGAUCCAGACUACUUCAGCAUUAAGAUGUGAACAUGGAAUUAUGAGAUUUGGUGUCAUGCAACCGUGCUAGGGGGAUUUCAGACUUUGUGACUUGUAUGAAUGAUGAAGAGUGGGGACUUCUGUUGUUGGUAACUCUAUAUGGUGCAUUGUAACCUUGGAUUGACCCUGACAUUUGUUUUGCACUACUAAUAUCAUAACAGUAUCAAGACUUUUUUUGGGACAACGAGUUGCUUCUGUAGGUACUACUGUUUAAUCAACAAAUAAAUUUUGUUUAUACCGAGUUUUCAA